GGUGGUGGCUCGCUCCAGCGGCAUUGCGACACCUCGGAUCGGCGGCGGCUUGGAGGGCUUUGUGGACUGGUCGGCUGCGGGCGUGGUUGGCCCUCCGGUCAGAUUUGAUCUGGCCAGAGUGGCUUGCUCGCUCCGCGACGGCAGAGAUCGGUGGUGAUCCGUGCGCACCAUACGAGAUGGAGGUUCGUCGAGCGGAUCCGAGUGAAAACCUCACUCUCGUGUUGUUGCCAAGACCGGCAAUGGCGGCACUCUUUUGUGUCGUUACGUUCUUGAGGGCGUCGUCGUGGAGAACCUACAGACCUCUGUCCGCUACCUUUGGGGGAAACCCUACAUCAGUAGAUCGCAUGACGACGACGCUCUGGAGUCGUUUCCUUCUUGGGGGCGUCAUUCUUGGAGGUGUACACAGGCUCGAGGGACCAGUGGACGACUUCUUUGGUGGAUUGGUGCUUCAUCUUACUCAUUGAUGGCGGCAGAUCUCGGCAGCAUGGCGCAGUGGAGACUCGGCGUCCGAUGCGCGGAGAGGCCUAGCAAGGUCGGUGCGUUAGUUUCUGCUCUGAAGAUGGAUUGGUGGAAGACGGCGGCGACGACACAUGAGAGUGCGUCGGACCGGUUUGUGCCCCAAAUCCAGUAUCUGGUUCGGUUGGGGCCUUUGGCUUUAGAUGUUAGGCUUUUGUGCGAUUUCUAUUUGGUAUUAGAUUCGGACUAUCGGCACUCCUUCACCAAGUGGAUAGGACUAGCGAUAGUUAUUGCUAAGAUAGUUGCUUCAGACUACCUGAUGUACUACUUUGUAAGGUCCUUAUGAAUAACUAGUAGAGUGCCCGUGCGUUGCCACGUGCUUUUUAAAAGAUUUAACUACUAGCAUAUGUUUUUAGAUGUCCAAUUGUACAUGUAACAUAAUGCAUGUCAAAUUUUACAUGUAUAAAAAAGGUGAACAGUAAUAGAUGGACAAUAAUAUAAAUCCACUUUAAAAAUAAAUUUAUUUUAAUUGCAUUCAUUGCCCAGAUGCAGAGGCGAGGGUAAUCUUUUUUUUUUUUUAAAGCUACGCAGGUCACUAUCUACGGGAGAAAAGCCAAUUACGGAGAGCGUAUCGAGCCCGCCCAGAAUUGGGUACUGGCGCGUAUCGAGCCCGCGCAGAAUUUGUACGCGCGCGAAGUUUCCCCAAUUCUCUCCCGAACGCGCGCGAAGACCCUCAUAUUCCCCAAUCCUCUCCCCUGUACACGCGCGAAGAUUUCCCCCAAAUCCCACUCCAACGGUGAGAGCGCCGCCAAAAUAGCACGGCGGCACAGCUCAUCCAUAGCCGCGGCGCCCGUGCCCUCUUCAAGCCAUCGCCGUUGCACGCCUGGGAUGCCGCGGCUGCCGCUGCCGCCGCCACUGCUGCAGGGCUCCCGCGGCUGCCGCUGUAGAGGGGUCGCCGCCGCCGCUGCAGAGGGUCCGCCGCCGUGGAGCUUGACCGACAUGCCGCCCUCGACAACAGCUUCAGGCGGAGGUCUCCGUGCUGCUACAACCCUGCCUCCCUAGAAGAAUCCUACCCUGCCUCCCUUGACUAGUACGUCCUCGAUCUGCAACCUACUCAACUAUGGAAAAGCGUCUUCUUCAACUUCAGAAUCAAGGCUCCAUUAGGCUGUUGGUCCUUCGUCUGCACUGUGCUGCCAUUUUUUCAAUUAUCCAGCCAUGUCUCUAGAAGAACAGCGUAGUUGGAUUGUACAGUGGGUGGAAUGAACAAGGGCGCCAUUCUGAAGAGUGGGUGCGCAACACAACAACUUUUCUUGACCAUGUUUUUCAGAUUAUGCCUAAUGCUGACCGGUUUGGUGUGAAGUGCCCAUGCACAAAGUGUCGUAAUAGAGUCAGGCAGAAGAAAAGUCAGAGUGCACCUUUGUCAAUAUGUGUAAUUUUAGUUAUGUGCUCUGUGGACUUACUAAUGCAUUUCAAUUCAGUUUUACAGGAUGGCAAUUUCGCGCCGCCGCCGCCGGGGGUCAUCCUCUACUAGCAGUGCUACUACAAGCCCUCCACCGGCGAAUCAACAAAUGGUGUUGAAAAUAUGGAUAAUACAUUGCAAGGAGUGGAAGAUGGAAUGUUUGGCGGCUUCUUUGAUGCAAAUGGUAAUGAUGCGAAUGGUGUUGCUACUGGAACUUUCUCCCCACCUGGUGAUGAUUUACCUACAUUUUAUAUAUCUCUCAUCAUGGUGAAGGAAGUGGUCUGAACUUUUUUUGUUGAUUAAUUGGAAGCAAAUGGACAAUUAUCCUUUUGGCCAUGCACUUGGUAUGGUUGUGAUGUCUUGGAUCAUUGACUUAUAUGAUGCAUGAUGUAUUAUUCCAGGCUACUAAUUGGCAAUCCUAGGUAGAUGACAUUUUGUGAGUCCUAGGUACUGAGCUAGAUGCCAUCUUUUGUAAAGAGUGGAGCUAGAUGCCAUCUUUUGUAAAGAGUGGUACUAUUGUGUAAACUCUUCGAUGUUGUAAUGUAUAAUGAUGAAUGAUGGUGGUUGAAGUACAUAAUUUAUGUGAUUGUUCUCUAA